rnacentral:hammerhead_ribozyme from 1 species
AUCCUGCUGACGAGUCCCAAACAGGACGAAACGCGCGUCAAACUGGAU